GACGAACGCUGGCGGCGUGCUUAACACAUGCAAGUCGAACGAGAGGACAAGAGAAGCUUGCUUCUUUUGGAAUCGAGUGGCAAACGGGUGAGUAACACGUAAACAACCUGCCUUCAGGAUGGGGACAACAGACGGAAACGACUGCUAAUACCGAAUACGCUUGGGAGACCGCAUGAUCUUCCAAGGAAGGGUGGCCUCUACUUGUAAGCUAUCGCCUGAAGAGGGGUUUGCGUCUGAUUAGGCAGUUGGUGAGGUAACGGCCCACCAAACCUACGAUCAGUAGCCGGUCUGAGAGGAUGAACGGCCACACUGGAACUGAGACACGGUCCAGACUCCUACGGGAGGC
rnacentral:rRNA from 1 species